CCUACGGGGGGCAGCAGUGAGGAAUAUUGGUCAAUGGACGAGAGUCUGAACCAGCCAAGUAGCGUGAAGGAUGACUGCCCUAUGGGUUGUAAACUUCUUUUAUAUGGGAAUAAAAUGUUCCACGUGUGAGAUUUUGUAUGUACCAUAUGAAUAAGGAUCGGCUAACUCCGUGCCAGCAGCCGCGGUAAUACGGAGGAUCCGAGCGUUAUCCGGAUUUAUUGGGUUUAAAGGGAGCGUAGGUGGAUUGUUAAGUCAGUUGUGAAAGUUUGCGGCUCAACCGUAAAAUUGCAGUUGAAACUGGCAGUCUUGAGUACAGUAGAGGUGGGCGGAAUUCGUGGUGUAGCGGUGAAAUGCUUAGAUAUCACGAAGAACUCCGAUUGCGAAGGCAGUUCACUGGACUGCAACUGACACUGAGGCUCGAAAGUGUGGGUAUCAAACAGGAUUAGAUACCCGGGUAGUC
rnacentral:rRNA from 1 species